rnacentral:tRNA from 1 species
CCGGCCGUGGCGUGGCGGCGAUGAUGCUCGCCACGCCGGUGCCGUGCCCGGCGCAGUCGCGGGUGCCGUCCCCGCCCGGGUCGAGGAAGUCGGC